rnacentral:rRNA from 1 species
GAUGAACGCUGGCGGCGUGUCUAACACAUGCAAGUCGAGCGAGAAGUCAUGGAUGGAAUCUUCGGAGGAAAGAAAUGAUGGAAAGCGGCGGACGGGUGAGUAACGCGGAGGUAACCUGCCCCAUACAGAGGGAUAGCCACUGGAAACGGUGAUUAAUACCUCAUGACACUUUCUCUCGCAUGGAGGGAAGGUCAAAGAUUUAUCGGUAUGGGAUGGACCUGCGUCUGAUUAGCUUGUUGGUGGGGUAACGGCCUACCAAGGCGACGAUCAGUAGCCGACCUGAGAGGGUGAUCGGCCACAUUGGAACUGAGACACGGUCCAAACUCCUACGGGAGGCAGCAGUGGGGAAUAUUGCACAAUGGGGGAAACCCUGAUGCAGCAACGCCGCGUGAAGGAAGAAGGCCUUUGGGUCGUAAACUUCUGUUCUGAGGGAAGAAGAAAGUGACGGUACCUCAGGAGAAAGCCCCGGCUAACUACGUGCCAGCAGCCGCGGUAAUACGUAGGGGGCAAGCGUUGUCCGGAAUUAUUGGGCGUAAAGAGUACGUAGGCGGUUUGCUAAGCGCAAGGUGAAAGGCAGUGGCUUAACCAUUGUAAGCCUUGCGAACUGACAGACUUGAGUGCAGGAGAGGAAAGCGGAAUUCCUAGUGUAGCGGUGAAAUGCGUAGAUAUUAGGAGGAACACCGGUGGCGAAGGCAGCCUGCUAAGCCGCCACUGACGUUGAGGCUCGAAAGUGCGGGUAUCAAACAGG